rnacentral:rRNA from 1 species
GUCGAGAAUCUUCCCCAAUGGGCGAAAGCCUGAGGGAGCGACGCCGCGUGAGGGAUGAAGGCCCUUUGGGUUGUAAACCUCUGUUAGGGGGAAAGAAAAGCAGUGGAAGCAAUAUGUCCAUUGCCUGACGUUACCCCCAGAGAAAGCUCCGGCCAACUCCGUGCCAGCAGCCGCGGUAAUACGGGGGGAGCAAGCGUUGUCCGGAAUCAUUGGGCGUAAAGGGCGUGUAGGCGGCUUGGCAAGUCGAAUGUGAAAUCCAGCGGCUCAACCGUGGAACUGCGUUCGAAACUGCCUUGCUUGAGUGCGGGAGAGGUGUGCGGAAUUCCUGGUGUAGCGGUGGAAUGCGUAGAUAUCAGGAAGAACACCGGUGGCGAAGGCGGCACACUGGCCCAGCACUGACGCUGAGGCGCGAAAGCGUGGGGAGCGAACGGGAUUAGAAACCCUAGUAGUCC